AGUGAACGCUGGCGGUAGGCCUAACACAUGCAAGUCGAACGGCAGCACAGUAAGAGCUUGCUCUUACGGGUGGCGAGUGGCGGACGGGUGAGGAAUACAUCGGAAUCUACUUUUUCGUGGGGGAUAACGUAGGGAAACUUACGCUAAUACCGCAUACGACCUACGGGUGAAAGCAGGGGAUCUUCGGACCUUGCGCGAUUGAAUGAGCCGAUGUCGGAUUAGCUAGUUGGCGGGGUAAAGGCCCACCAAGGCGACGAUCCGUAGCUGGUCUGAGAGGAUGACCGGCCAGAUUGGAAGUGAGACAGGGACAAGACUACUAGGGGGGGAGCCAGGGGGGAAUAUUGGACAAUGGGGGCAAGCUUGAUCCAGCCAUCCGGGGGGGUUGAAGAGGGCCUUGGGGUUGUAAGGCCUUUUUGUGGGGAAAAAAAAGCAGGAGGUUAAUACCCCGCUGUUCUGACGUUACCAAAAGAAUAAGCCCCGGCUAACUUCGUG
rnacentral:rRNA from 1 species